rnacentral:pre_miRNA from 1 species
CUACUACUCCCUCCGUCCGGAAAUACUUGUCAUCAAAAUGAAUAAAAUGGGAUGUAUCUAGAUGUAUUUUAGUUUUAGAUACAUCCUUUUUUGUCCAUUUUGAUGACAAGUAUUUUCGGACGGAGGGAGUAUAUG